rnacentral:rRNA from 1 species
AUGAGCGCUGGCGGCGUGCCUAAUACAUGCAAGUCGAGCGAACGGACGAGAAGCUUGCUUCUCUGAUGUUAGCGGCGGACGGGUGAGUAACACGUGGAUAACCUACCUAUAAGACUGGGAUAACUUCGGGAAACCGGAGCUAAUACCGGAUGAUAUUUUGAACCGCAUGGUUCAAAAGUGAAAGACGGUCUUGCUGUCACUUAUAGAUGGAUCCGCGCUGCAUUAGCUAGUUGGUAAGGUAACGGCUUACCAAGGCAACGAUGCAUAGCCGACCUGAGAGGGUGAUCGGCCACACUGGAACUGAGACACGGUCCAGACUCCUACGGGAGGCAGCAGUAGGGAAUCUUCCGCAAUGGGCGAAAGCCUGAUGGAGCAACGCCGCGUGAGUGAUGAAGGUCUUCGGAUCGUAAAACUCUGUUAUUAGGGAAGAACAUAUGUGUAAGUAACUGUGCACAUCUUGACGGUACCUAAUCAGAAAGCCACGGCUAACUACGUG